AUUGAACGCUGGCGGCAGGCCUAACACAUGCAAGUCGAACGAUUGGCGGACGGGUUAGUAAUGUCUGGGAAACUGCCCGAUGGAGGGGGAUACAUACUGGAAACGGUAGCUACUACCGCAUACCAUCGGAUGUGCCCCGAUGGGAUUAGCUAGUAGGUGGGGUAACGGCUCCAAUAGGCGACGUUCCCUCGCUGGUCUGAGAGGAUGACCAGCCACACUGGAACUGAGACACGGUCCAGCCUCCUACGGGAGGCAGAAGUGGGGAAUAUUGCACAAUGGGCGACAGCCUGAUGCAGCCAUGCCGCGUGUAUGAAGAAGGCCUUCGGGUGGUAAAGUACUUUCAGCGGGGAGGCGUUACCCGCAGAAGAAGCACCGGCUAACUCCGUGCCAGCAGCCGCGGUAAUUC
rnacentral:rRNA from 1 species